AUGGCAAAGUACUGGUGGGCUAGUUCCAUUGAUAAGCGGUCUCUACACUGGUUGUCUUGGGACAAAUUGGCGGCACCAAAAAUCAAAGGUGGGAUGGGAUUCAAAUAUCUUCCAUUAUUCAACCUUGCGAUGCUCGGCAAGCAAGGGUGGAGGCUUCUGACACACCGAAACUCCCUUUGUCCCCGGGUGUUGAAGGGGAAAUACUAUCGUGAUACGGAUUUUCUUCAUGCUACUGUUCCGGCGAGGGCUUCGGCAACUUGGAAAGCCAUUGUGGCGGGCAGACAAGCAUUGGAGAUGGGCCUGAUUCAUAGGAUUGGUGAUGGCACAAGUACCUCAACUUGGACCGACCCAUGGAUCCCAAAUACUACAACUAUGAAACCCAUGGGGCGGCGGGCAGACAAGCACUGGAGAUGGGCCUGA
rnacentral:rRNA from 1 species